rnacentral:lncRNA from 1 species
CGAGAAUUUUACUACCGAGCAUAAAGUACCAGGAGAUCAUGAGUUUCAGUAUGCGAAGCGCCGGCGACGAACAGCGCUGACGACUCGUUGCGGAAUUAUUUUUCGGCCGUCGACCGCCACAAAGAGUCUCGGCAAUAACAUCCGAAUCCUGCGGUCCUAGUACUUCGAUGUAUCUGCUGUAUUUCGUACGAAUUCGUUAAAAAUGCUUUGUACACAUUAUAUUUGUAAGUAGUAUAAAUAUGUCGGUGAUGCACAAUCUCAUAACUCUCACUUUUAAAACUAAUUUCUGAUCUCUAUUUACAAUGUUUUUAUUACCUUUUCUUUGUUUACAUGCAUAAUAUAAAAAUAUUAUUAUAAAAAUAAACGAAUUAAAAAACUAUUUAAACAUAAUAAUGAAACUAAUUGUUACACAAACAUUGCACUAGGAAAAACUUAUCUUUAACAUAAAGAAAUAAUGUAAUAUAUUAAACAUCGCCCUUGAAAUAGAUUAUUUACCAAAAAUAGUUUAUAUUAAAAUUAUCAUUCUUUUUUAUUAUUUGUUUAUAUUAAAUUAUCAAAGUGUUCCAUGAAAGUUUUUCUCUCUUUUUUUGUAGAAUUAUGUGCCCAAACUAUUGUAUUAAUACUUUUUCCUAGAAUUUAUCUUUUAUCAUCGUAUGUACUAUGAGCUUUCUUGUUUCGUUCAACAGUAUAUAUGUUAUGUGUAUCUGUCCUAAAAGUGUUCUGUUUUACUUAUUUAGGAUUUUUUUAACAUCGUUCGUAUUUAACUUGGUUUUUUCACACCUUUUACUUAAUUUUUUUCAAAUACAUCAAAUGAAUAUAAUUUAGAUCUUAACCCAAAAACUCUGUUAUCAUUUGACCAUAAAGCUCAUCUUUAAAUUAACCUGAAACUCUUAUAUUAAUUUCGGGCUUUUAAUGCAUAUUUUUCUCUAGCUAAUCUGAAAAAUCAAAUUCGUUUUAAAGUUGUUUAUUGUUUUAUUAGCUGUAUACAAAUCAUCAGUUGUAAUUUAUACUAUUAAAGAAUCUGUGUCUGCGUAAAAUAAUCUGACAUUGUUUCAAUACGUUUUAAUUAAAAUCAUACAUUCGAGUUUUAGUUAAAUCCAAAAUACACAGUGUUAAAUAAAUCGGUUGUUUUAAUUCAUCCAUAGUUUAUUUUUCAUACGUACAGCUAAUAAGUUGUCUGUAAAAAUAGUUGUUCGAUCAAUAUUCGUAUAAGUAACACAUUUUUAAUUUUUUUUUUCUUUUAUAUCUUUGAGAUUCCUUGUGUUCUUUAUCGAAAGGAAGUGUGUAUUAAUUAUUUUGGAUAAUUUAAUACAUACCUGUGCGCAACGUAAAAUGAUUCUAAAACUCCUCUGAAAUUUUUUUGGGAAAUCUCUGGCGAAUAUCGAAAUUUGACCUUUUUAACGUACCUGUCUAUUGUAAAUUUCUUUUAGAAAUUGUGCUAAACUUGAUAAUCGGAGUAUGUAUUCUCGUGAAAAAGUGUUCAAAAGAGAAAGAAAUCAUAAUAUUAUACUAAUAUAUUUCUUAAAUUUUCCGUUUUUUUUUUUUUUAGGAUUUUCAUUUCUACUGAGGAAUAAUAUUGUAAAAAAUCAAAAAUUACCUCCUUAGAGUAGUUUUCCAAACCGAUCACAUUUCGGAAAAAAAUCUACACGUGAACAUCGGAGCAAGCCUUUCAGUAAAAACUUAAUCACAUAAAAAAAUAACUAAACAUUAUUAAAACAACCACAAACACUUUUGCUUCACUCAUAAACUGAAAUGGGCAACAGAUGAAAUUAUUUCUUUUUAAUUUCAUCAUGAUGAGAACAAUUGGGGAAAACCAAAAAUGACAAUAAAUAUGAUAAUCAUAGGAUAAUAUUUAUUGUAUUUACUAUUAAAAUUAACAAUUAAAAGAACGUAUAGAAAUCGAAAUUUAUAUAUUUCAAUACAGUUCCGUCAAUAUUCAUAAUUUUAUAUUAAAAUACUAAAACUUGCUUUAUUCUAAUAAUUAUUCUAUUUAAUAAAAAAAAUUAUUUUUAUUAACGAUUCGAAACUUUUCUAAGGUGGAUUUGUCGGGCGUGGUCGGCAUCGAAACGAGAAUUUUACUACCGAGCAUAAAGUACCAGGAGAUCAUGAGUUUCAGUAUGCGAAGCGCCGGCGACGAACAGCGCUGACGACUCGUUGCGGAAUUAUUUUUCGGCCGUCGACCGCCACAAAGAGUCUCGG